GGGGGCAACCCUGNNCCGAGCAACGCCGCGUGAGUGAAGAAGGUUUUCGGAUCGUAAAGCUCUGUUGUAAGUCAAGAACGAGUGUGAGAGUGGAAAGUUCACACUGUGACGGUAGCUUACCAGAAAGGGACGGCUAACUACGUGCCAGCAGCCGCGGUAAUACGUAGNNMCCNAGCGUUGUCCGGAUUUAUUGGGCGUAAAGCGAGCGCAGGCGGCCUUUUAAGUCAGCGGUGAAAGUCUGUGGCUCAACCAUAGAAUUGCCGUUGAAACUGGGGGGCUUGAGUAUGUUUGAGGCAGGCGGAAUGCGUGGUGUAGCGGUGAAAUGCUUAGAUAUCACGCAGAACCCC
rnacentral:rRNA from 1 species